GGACUACAAGGGUAUCUAAUCCUGUUUGAUCCCCACGCUUUCGCACAUCAGCGUCAGUUACAGACCAGAAAGUCGCCUUCGCCACUGGUGUUCCUCCAUAUCUCUGCGCAUUUCACCGCUACACAUGGAAUUCCACUUUCCUCUUCUGCACUCAAGUUUUCCAGUUUCCAAUGACCCUCCACGGUUGAGCCGUGGGCUUUCACAUCAGACUUAAAAAACCGCCUACGCGCGCUUUACGCCCAAUAAUUCCGGAUAACGCUUGCCACCUACGUAUUACCGCGGCGGCUGGCAC
rnacentral:misc_RNA from 1 species